rnacentral:sRNA from 12 species
ACAACAAGCGAACGGAGACAAAUUCCUGUAGGAAAAGCUGAAGAGCUAUCCGUUUCGCUGGCC